GAGUGCGGGCCCUCGCGCCCAACCUCCCAACCCUUUGUCGAUUCAUAUCUGUUGCCUCGGGGGGCGACCCGGACGUCGCGCCGGGAGUCCCCCAGAGGUCCAACCCAACACACUGCGUCUCUGCGUCGGAGUAUUGAAUAACAAUCAAUCAAAACUUUCAACAACGGAUCUCUUGGUUCU
rnacentral:misc_RNA from 1 species